rnacentral:rRNA from 1 species
AGUGAACGCUGGCGGUAGGCCUAACACAUGCAAGUCGAACGGCAGCACAGUAAGAGCUUGCUCUUACGGGUGGCGAGUGGCGGACGGGUGAGGAAUACAUCGGAAUCUACUUUUUCGUGGGGGAUAACGUAGGGAAACUUACGCUAAUACCGCAUACGACCUACGGGUGAAAGCAGGGGAUCUUCGGACCUUGCGCGAUUGAAUGAGCCGAUGUCGGAUUAGCUAGUUGGCGGGGUAAAGGCCCACCAAGGCGACGAUCCGUAGCUGGUCUGAGAGGAUGAUCAGCCACACUGGAACUGGGACACGGUCCAGACUCCUACGGGAGGCAGCAGUGGGGAAUAUUGGACAAUGGGCGCAAGCCUGAUCCGGCCAUACCGCGUGGGUGAAGAAGGCCUUCGGGUUGUAAAGCCCUUUUGUUGGGAAAGAAAAGCAGCAGGUUAAUACCCCGCUGUUCCGACGGUACCCAAAGAAUAAGCACCGGCUAACUUCGUG